GGAUGAACGCUAGCUACAGGCUUAACACAUGCAAGUCGAGGGGAAACGACAUCGAAAGCUUGCUUUUGAUGGGCGUCGACCGGCGCACGGGUGAGUAACGCGUAUCCAACCUGCCCAUCACUUGGGGAUAACCUUGCGAAAGUAAGACUAAUACCCAAUGAUAUCUCUAGAAGACAUCUGAAAGAGAUUAAAGAUUUAUCGGUGAUGGAUGGGGAUGCGUCUGAUUAGCUUGUUGGCGGGGUAACGGCCCACCAAGGCAACGAUCAGUAGGGGUUCUGAGAGGACGGUCCCCCCCAUUGGAACUGAGACACGGUCCAAACUCCUACGGGAGGCAGCAGUGAGGAAUAUUAGUCAAUGGGCGAGAGCCUGAACCAGCCAAGUAGCGUGCAGGAAGACGGCCCUAUGGGUUGUAAACUGCUUUUAUAGGGAAUAAAGUGAGAGUCGUGACUCUUUUUGUAUGUACCUUAUGAAUAAGGACCGGCUAAUUCCGUG
rnacentral:rRNA from 1 species